rnacentral:rRNA from 1 species
AUUGAACGCUGGCGGCAGGCUUAACACAUGCAAGUCGAGCGGAGCGAGGGUGCUUGCACCUUAGCUUAGCGGCGGACGGGUGAGUAAUGCUUAGGAAUCUGCCUAUUAGUGGGGGACAACAUCUCGAAAGGGAUGCUAAUACUGCAUACGUCCUACGGGAGAAAGCAGGGGAUCACUUGUGACCUUGCGCUAAUAGAUGAUCCUAAGUCGGAUUAGCUAGUUGGUGGGGUAAAGGCCUACCAAGGCGACGAUCUGUAGCGGGUCUGAGAGGAUGAUCCGCCACACCGGGACUGAGACACGGCCCAGACUCCUACGGGAGGCAGCAGUGGGGAAUAUUGGACAAUGGGGGGAACCCUGAUCCAGCCAUGCCGCGUGUGUGAAGAAGGCCUUAUGGUUGUAAAGCACUUUAAGCGAGGAGGAGGCUCUUUUGGUUAAUACCCAAGAUGAGUGGACGUUACUCGCAGAAUAAGCACCGGCUAACUCUGUGCCAGCCGCCGCAGUAAAAC